AGUGAACGCUGGCGGUAGGCCUAACACAUGCAAGUCGAACGGCAGCACAGUAAGAGCUUGCUCUUACGGGUGGCGAGUGGCGGACGGGUGAGGAAUACAUCGGAAUCUACUUUUUCGUGGGGGAUAACGUAGGGAAACUUACGCUAAUACCGCAUACGACCUACGGGUGAAAGCAGGGGAUCUUCGGACCUUGCGCGAUUGAAUGAGCCGAUGUCGGAUUAGCUAGUUGGCGGGGUAAAGGCCCACCAAGGCGACGAUCCGUAGCUGGUCUGAGAGGAGGGUUCACCACACUGGAAGUGAGACACGGUCCCGACUCCUACGGGAAGCCGCAGUGGGGAAUAUUGGGCAAUGGGGGCGAGCCUGAUCCAGCCAUACCGCGUGGGUGAAGAAGGCGUUCGGGUUGUAAAGCCCUUUUGUUGGGAAAGAAAAGCAGCAGGUUAAUACCCCGCUGUUCUGACGGUACCCAAAGAAGAAGCACCGGCUAACUUCGUG
rnacentral:rRNA from 1 species